GACGAACGCUGGCGGCGUGCUUAACACAUGCAAGUCGAGCGGAAAGGCCCUUCGGGGUACUCGAGCGGCGAACGGGUGAGUAACACGUGAGUAACCUGCCCCAGACUUUGGGAUAACCCUCGGAAACGGGGGCUAAUACCGGAUACGACACAGCUUCGCAUGGGGUCUGUGUGGAAAGUUUUUCGGUUUGGGAUGGGCUCGCGGCCUAUCAGCUUGUUGGUGGGGUGAUGGCCUACCAAGGCGACGACGGGUAGCCGGCCUGAGAGGGCGACCGGCCACACUGGUACUGAGACACGGCCCGGACUCCUACGGGAGGCAGCAGUGGGGAAUAUUGCACAAUGGGCGGAAGCCUGAUGCAGCGACGCCGCGUGAGGGAUGACGGCCUUCGGGUUGUAAACCUCUUUCAGCAGGGACGAAGCGUAAGUGACGGUACCUGCAGAAGAAGCGCCGGCCAACUACGUG
rnacentral:rRNA from 1 species